CCGUGGGCGUCCGGUGAUCUUGAGGCGUGCCUGUAGCGUUUACUGCCGGGACGUUCUCCCAACCGGCUGCCGCUCCGCCCAGGUCCAGACCCCACCCGGCUGCCCGAAUUGCGCAAUCCGUAGCUGGGGAAGCGCUACGUGGAAACCUGUCUGAGUAGAUGCCGAGCCUAGAAAAGGAGAGGUAGAAGGCGGAGUGAAAAGUGGAGGGAUCGCGGGAGCCGCAGUCCUGCGCCGACACCUGCGGGGCGCUAGCUGCCGGGGUGAGCCUGUGUGUGUCAUCGCUGAUGCUUAAUCCUGAGGGCGCGGACUCCAGAGCCCGGCCGCCUGGGCUCACACCUUGCCUUUUUCUCUCUGGCUUUGAGACUUGAAUCUCCACAGGCCGAUUUGAGACGCAGGUGGUUGUCUCUCCAGUGAGCAGACGUGUGGACGAGUUCCCUCCCGGCCCUCUCCGGGUAAAAGUCCAGGUCCUUAGAACUGAGUGCGUCGGCCCGUCAUGCACCGCCACAGGGCUGUCUGUGCCCUUGCCAUCACUUCCCCUCCUGCAGCUCUUCGCUCAGACUCGGUGAGGUCCAUCCUGGCUACCCUCCUGGAAAUCACAACCGUCCUAGCACCUCUAUCCUGAUCGUUUUUCCUAUAGCGUUUAUCACCUAAUUUUACCAUCUAAUGGACAUGUUUACUGUGUGUAUCAACCUUCUCCCUUUCCAUUAAGCCCCUGACUGAAGCUACACAAAGGCGUGGAUUUUGUUUUGUUCCCCGGUGUAUCCCCUGCACCUAAGAAACGCUCCUGGCACAUCGCAGGCAAUAUAGUGAAUAUUCGUCAGAUGGGUACAUGUGUUUCCAGCUCCUCAGCACUAACGUGGGCGUACAAUGGCACCCAACUCGUUGGUUUUUGGAGGGGAGUUCAAUAAGGUGUCCUGAAAGCAGACACAGAAAUGGAAGCAGGAGUACAAAAUGCUGUUUUAGUGACUAUCAACUAGUGAAAAAUGAAGAAGAGGAAGCAGAAUUUGGCAAGGAAGCCUGCAGACCGUGAUGCUGGUAUGUUUCCUGUGCAAGGAAAAGGGAAGGAAUGGAAUUGGGCAGAGGAAGAAUUGAACUGUGAUAUGGAUCUGAUGGAAUCUCGGCAACCCCAUGGGCAGCUCUGGAGUAAAGAUUGCCCAUUGCAACAGGCACUGUUCGGACAGAAUUGCCCGACUCUGAUACCUAGAGCAUGCUCAGUUCCUCAGGGCUGUUCUGGAAGCCCCGCCAGCUAACUGCACUGGAGUGUUCACGUGGCACCCUGCAGAGUGAGAGCCUGUUCCUGCAGAGUGGAUAGUGAGAGAGAGAGAGACAGAGAGAAAGGCACUUGGAUUUUUAAUCUUGGAAAUGUGCCAGCUUAUUCCUCAAGGGUGAAAUGCGGCCAGUGUUACCAAUGGAAGAUUAAAAAAGCAGAAAGACCAAGACCUAAUACAAAGCCCAGGAACGAGAGGUCAUGGCUCUGGCUAGAUACCCACUUACAUCACUGGGCAGAUACUUGGCAUCUUAAUCUGCAACAUCAGCAUUGAGAUAAACAGUGACUUCACAGCGAUCGCCAAGGACAAUGGGCACUAUUUUGAUGGGCAUUAUGUACAUCCGAAGUAGAUUGCUUUGCUUUGUAAUGCAGAGCAGGAACUGGAGCACUUCUUGUGUACUUGACUUUGCAACAAAGUUCGAUAUGGCAAGGAAGAGAUCUGAGAGCGGAUGGACUCUGGUUUCUCCAGUUAAAAUGAGGACAGAAAUAGAAGAGCAGCACUCAGCUUCGCCUCGAAGCCUGGGGAAGCAGCAAGCGCUCCAAGGCCCGAAUCCGCCCUGGGGCCAUUCAAUUGGCUGUCUCUUGGACGACACUUAAUAUCCAGCAGAAGGCCUUCACUGCGAGCCAGAGCAAAAGUUUUUCUUUUCGGUGGUGUUGAACAUUGUCUCGAGAGCAGCUGGAGAAAUUGAGUCAAGCGAGCAAGAACUAUGUCUGGGUCUCACAGUUGGUCUGCGGCCAACUCCUGGCAGAAGCAAAUCUCCUGAGGGUUGAGCUAAAUGUCCCAGAUUAGGUUUGGGGUGUGCAAAAUCCUCCUCCUACCCCCUUGCAGGAGACACAUUCCAGCCAAUGGACAUCAUGACACACCCAGUCCAGCAAAUGGACAAGACAUCAUGACACACCCAGUCCAGCUAAUGGACAAGGUAUCACCACCUUGAGUCAACCAGGCUGCAUCUUCCACGUUUCUUUGCUGCAGGCCAACUUUUCACCCCAAAGAGUCAAUGUUCUUAAGGAGCAAUCGGAUUAAACAAGUUAAGGUCGCAGGCUCUGGGCCUCCCUGCAAACCUCACGGAGUCGGACACAAGGAGUUUGCCUGGCUGCAACGUGCCCCAAGCCCGAGGGGAAUGUAUAGGGAUUUCCUAGCUGGUCCCAAAAGCGUUCUGAUGUCCUUUCCCACAGACAGGAGCUUGAUCAUCUCCGCCUUUCAACUGAGCUCAUCAGGGACUUAGGAAUCAAAGGAAAUCGCGGAUGUAGGCCUUGGCCCCACACAGCCCAGAGCUGUAAGCUAAACACACCCACAAGAGACCGACAUGUGUCUGAGCAGGAAACCUCAGAGGAAUGCAUUAACAUCCCGGUCAGAGUUUCCAUCUGGCUGGCGUGCUCAGCGCAGAAGCCGCCUGUGCUGGCUGCCCCCUCCCUCUGGCUCUGCCUGGUGCCAGUCCUGAGCCAGCGUGGGCGGAGGCGAAACGUGUGUUGAUCAUCUCCCUGCCUGAGCACGGUCUCGGAGCCCCAGGUCUGGGGCUUGGUGUUCCAGCCUCUGUCCUUCGGGUGAUUUGCGGUGACAACCGUGCCCUGAGCUAGGCAUGCCAGGGUGAACCCUCUACAGACAAGUGAGAGCGAAGGCCUACAUCAAUCCUCUAGCUGACGCCCUCCCCAACCUGUCUCUUCUGUUUUGGCAAUGCUGCCGCCGUACACUUCCUGAUCGGCUACUCUGGCACCAGCCGCUUUGGAAUCCCACUUUGCCGGGCACUGUUCCCUCUCCAGAAGCGAUGACUACAGUUGAUUUUGUUUCUGUUGACAGUUCCCUCCUCCCAGCUCGUGUCCUUCCUCUGCCCACGUGCGCAGUGUGCUCAUUACGGUCUUGCGCUCUAGUUGCAUAUUAACUCGUCUGUCUUCCUGGAGGGGCUGUGAGCUCCACGGAGCAGCAAGCUUCUUAUUGGUGUCUCUUCUGGUCCCCAGCACCUAGCACAGCACUCAGCGUAACCUAGCCAUGUUUAACGUAGAGCCGAUGCAAGAAAGCAUAAAUGAAAAGAUAACAUCCCAUUCCUGCCGAAGGGAGCGAUCCCUCACUUGACAUUGCCAGCGCACAUCCACCUGCGCUCAUUUAGCUGAAAGCUCAGUGCAGACCAACUCUGGGAGAAUUUUGUCACUUCUAGACAACAGCAGAGGUCUUUACAAAGACACGGCUCGUUGCAAAAGAGGUAUUGUCACAGAUAUACGUCCCUUUGGUUUGUUGGGCAGUUAUAUGUAAUUCACCAUUCUACCAACUAAUCAAGUCUUCAGUUGCCACAAGUAAAAAAAAUUAUAUUUCAGGUGAAUCAAAAAGGAAAUAACACUUGAUUGGAGAAGAUGAGUAGUACGUUGGCUCCUGGUGACUAUAAAUCUUGGAAUGAGUCGCAAAGUAUCUCUAAGCCUUAGUUUCCUCAUCUGGAAAUUGCGGUGGUUGAACUCAGUAAUCAUCAAGUUUCCUCCCAUGUUUAUGGCUCUAUUAACCUAUAAUUGUGUUUCGAAAGGCAAGGCUCAAAGCCUGCCCUUUCUGUCUUUUGGCCAAGUCACAGCCUUAGGGUUAAAGCCUUUGCCUGACUUUUUACUUGUGGCCACCAGGUGGCAGGAGCGUGCCACAGUCGUUGGUCCCAAGCUCCAAGUGCGUGCAUCAGAAGCUGACUUAUCGAGGUAUUUGUCUGAUUUAGGAGGCCAGAGAGUGACUUUUUGUAAUCGCAAAACUUUUUGCUUGUGAAAACAUUCACCUUUAUGCAAAAUAGAAUCCUGAGAGUUAGUGAGGAUUAUAUUAAAAAUGCCCCAGGGACUUAACAAAGUGAACAAAUUGAGCGUGUUUCCUGCCCACAGGGAGCUCCCACUCUGAUGAGGGGCAUAAGUAAACAGAACACUCACAGAUUUGUAAAACUAAAGCUAUGAAUGUGUGCUGAGAACUGGGAGUGGGUGUCAAGAGUCCUGGAGGCGUGGUGACAAAAGGCUUGACUCACAGCCUGGCCCUGUGUGCUCAUUUGAAUUUAAGUUAGUUAAAAUCGAGCACAAAUUUAAAUACUCAGCUUCGCAGUUGCACCCACCACAUACCAAGUGCACAGGGGCCACGUGUGGUUGGUGGUCACCAUAUUGUAGAGCACCAAUGACAGAACAUCUCUGUGGCCACCCGAAGCUCUACUGGGUAAUACUGAUCUAGAAUAGAUUCUGAACCUUGGCCCUAUGAACAGUUGGAGCCUGCUGCCUGCUUGUUGUCAGAGGCUGUUCUGUGCAUUGUACCAGGGUUAGUAGCAUUACUAGAUGCCAGUAGCUGUGGCUCCCCUCUAGCAAGAUUAAAAGCAUAAUGUAUCCAAACAUUGCAAAAUGACUCACAGGGGAGCCAAAAUUGCCCUCAGUUGGGAGCCACUGGACCUUCAGAUGGAAAUAAGUUGUUAUUAGAGUUCGGAGAGGUGAGGACUUUGAGGGAGUCAACUAAGGUUCUCCACCUAGAAUGGAGGAUGCAGGGGAUGCUUCCCCCAAGAGUUGACUCCUGUGCCACCUCUGGUAAGGCAAAAACAAUGGCAUCAGCAAGACUCGACACCACUACUGGUCCCGCCUUUCAACCUGCUUUCUCCCUUCAGCGUCUAAGCCUGGUCCUGGCUGCUCCUGUGCUGGACUGAGACACCAUGGUGUCAACUCCCCUCUCCUUCGGUCUCCUUUUUAUUCUUCAGGUUACUAGUCUUUCGAUGUUGUUUAGGAAUCCCAUAUUCUGUCUUUCUUGUCCUGUUUAAGGUUCUUAUCGUUACAAAGAGAGCUAACUCAAACAAAAGAGACACCCACAGUUAGAAAGUCUUCAUGAAAUUCCAAGACAAGAGUCUAAGUUCUUUUAGGCUCCAUGGGAACUUGAACAAGGCUAUCAUUGCCCAAAAUCUGCUCCAUCUCGAGUUCUUCAUGACCUCACCUACGAUAUGUCUGCUGCCCUGGAAGGUAAGACCUGUUGUCUUACCUGACCCCUGAUCAAUUUCUUCCUGCCUUCAGUUGCAGGUGUUCUAUGAUGGCCACCCAGUUUCCCCCACAGUGGAGUAACUCUUGAUAGUCUUUCUGACUAACCUAUAUGACUUUUAGCUCAUCCUAAUUUAUGAUUGACCUAAUGUCACUUUUUUGAGUAAAGUCCUGUAAGUCAAGAGCUCCUAGUUUGUAGGGGAGUUCUUUUGGGGGGCUAGAACCUCCAUUGGUUGCACAGUCUCACUGUGUCUACUCAAGAGGAAUCCUUGGUAGCAGACCUAGGAAGGCUAGGUGCCCUGUACGCAGCUGGUCCAAUUUCUACUUCUAGGGUGACACUGAUUUCUUUCCCAGCCAUCCGUAGCUCUGAGAUUGAUCUACUUUCCUCUAUUUUCUCUUCUUUAAUGAACUUUUUACUUUCUCCCAUAACCUGGUAUAGUGCAGUACCUAUCAGAUAGUGGAUGCUUGGUGGAUGUUUGCUGGGUUGAAUCUCACUAGUCAAAGACCACCAGGAACACACCUGCAGUCAAACAAGAGUAGGUUUAUUAUGUUUGCUACUGUAAGGAGACAAAACUUUUGAUAAAAGAGCAUUGUAUGACUUAUUUAAAUAUUUGGGGGCAGGGUUGGCAUUAUGGCAUAGUGGGUUAAGUCACAGCUUGCAAUGCCAGCAUUGCUUGGCCCAGAUCUGAUAAUUGCAAGCCAUUUGGAGAGUGAAUCAACACAUGAAAGAUAGCUCUCUCUUUCUCUCUCCUCUGUGUGUGUGUGUGUGUAUGUGUCUUUGCUUUUCAAAUAAAUAAAUAAAUAAUCUAGCACAGCCAAAAAGCUCAGGGGCUUCGAUGCCAGUUGAUGCCAGUAUUCCAUACUGGAGCACCUGGGUUCAAUGCUGAGCUCUGGCUCUGACUCUGCUUUCCUGCCCCCCCCCCCCCCCCAGGCUACCGCGAUGACGCCAGUGAUUGAGUUCCUGUCACUUACAUGGGAAACCUGAAUUGAAUUCUCAGCUGCUAGCUUCGGCCCAGCUCAGUCCUGGCCAUUGCAGGCAUUUGAAGAGCGAGUGAGCAGAUGGAGUGCGCGCGCGCUCUCUCUGCCUCUCUGCCUCUCUACCUCUCAAAUAAAUAAAUAAAUAAACAGUUAAAAAUAAAAUAAAAAGAUGUGGGCUUCUGCUAGGCGAUUUUAAGGAAGCACCGAAGAACGGGAGGCAGUUUUAUAUGAGAAGCUGUAGGCCUGAGGGCAGUGGAGCCCCGUGCUGUCUCAGAAGUCCUUUUUCAGGAGGUGGAAGAACAGCAUGAGGCUGGGCACGCCAUUGGUAAGGAGGCAGCAAUUCCUCAGAAGUCAUUUUUUAGCUCUAGUGGGGCCCUUAUGCUGUGGGGCGAGAAACAUUAUUUAUCACAGUAGGACCAUAGGGUCGACUUCUGCUUUUUCAGUUAAAUGGAACAAAUAUCUGAAUGAAUGUUUUACCUUACCCAAAUGCAGAAGCAACGGCAGUGGGCUACAGGUAAGAGUCAGGUGACAUUUGUAAACCGCCAAAGUGGCCCCUCAUUUUGUUUGUCUUUCUGAUGAUUGCUUUUUUAUUGACUUUGAACAAAAUUGGUUUUUUGUAUAAGGAUAUAACAUAUUCA